rnacentral:lncRNA from 1 species
CUGCCCUCUGCCUCGGAACCAGCCUCCAUUCCCCUACGCCGACCCAUCUCUUCUACUAACAGGGCAGCUCAGCAUGGCAUUACAGGGCAGCGGCCAGCUCAGCACGGCAUUACAGGGCAGCGGCCAGCACGGCAGUACAGGGCAGCGGCCAGCACAACAGUUCAGGACAUCGGGGCAUCGGCCAGCACAACAGUUCUGGGCAGCGGCCAGCACAACAGUUCAGGGCAACCUUUUAUAAUAAAUACUUAAAAGGUUCAAAAAUUUUCUCAAGUGCUAAUGCUUUGAAAUCAUUUGCAUUUUGAUAGUCCAGAUAUUUAACAUUAUAUUAGAUAAUAACAGGUCUGCUUACCAACCGUGAACACAUUUAGUUUUAAUUUUUUAUGAACCAAUCAGCUAUUAGAAGAGUGGCAGGGCCUAUGGGCUAGGUUAGGAUGAGAAGAGUAUAGCUACCUGUAUUGAGACAGCUAUAGAUGCAGGCAAGUCAAUAAUGCCAAGAUUGACACCAGUUAUUUGUGUAACUUAGCCCCUACUCCUCGGGCUAGGGUGCCGCUGGGCGUAUCCCCCAUCAGGGUAAAUCGAGAAAAGUCAACUUUUCCAAAAAUAUUUUUUAAUUUAACCCUUAAGCCCCGGGUUAACAAUGGCGGGAAAAUAGGCGGAUGUUCUGGAACGUCACCUGGGACCUAAGGGUUAAACGAUAAAAAAAUGUAAGAAAUACUACAUAUUGAACCUCUAGAAACUUCCCUGAGGCCGCAGUGGCGAGGGAGAUAAGGGGACAGUGUUGUUUUAACUGCUAGCGAUUGUGGUCACUACGCACUUAGCGGCCAUUUUCAGUUUGCCUUUGUGUCUGGGAUGGCCAAUUAUGUGUAUAUUUACUGAUCAUAAUACUUAUUUCCUAUAAAUAAUUUAUUUAGAAUUUAUUUUAUUUGCAUUAUUUUCCAUAAAAAGUGCUCGGCGACACACACGCAGUUUGUCGCCAGGCUGUCUGGCUGUUUUCGUGUUUAGGAGAGUAAGUAAUGUACAGUAUAUAAAUAAUUAUCGGAUUAAUAAUUCCACAAAUAAAUACAUUUAUAACAUAA